rnacentral:lncRNA from 1 species
UGUCAAGCACAGUUAAUUAUAUUUACUAGAAGUCUCUCACCUCUCAUACUCAUGCACCUUAAUCAUACACACAGAGGAAAUCUAUAAAGGUCUAGAAUAAAAGGAUUGUGCUUAAAUGCUGCUUUUAGGACACAAAGAUAUAUCUGAGAUUUUGAAAAUAAGUCAGUGAUUAACUGGGACUGCAUUGUAAAUGGGAUUUAUUUCAUGAGGAUCUAAAAGGACCUUUGGGGAUAUUGAAAACUUUAUCUUGAUUGUAGCAGUGGAUGCUUUAAUGUACACAUCUGUUAAAACUAUAUCUUCUAUUGGCCAAAUUCAGCAGUUUGAUUUGCAAGGAUCUCUUGAAGCAGACUCUGGGUUUAGCCUCUUCAGACGAAAAGCAGCGUGGAGAAGAUGGACGGUAGCAUUGGAGGUGGUCCAGUGUCAGCACCACAGACAGUUUGCAGUCAUAUCAGAAGCAACAAAUGAGAAACAAGGAUGGCGUAUCAACAUAGAUUUGAUAAUCAUCAUUUUAUGAGAAAGCACAAUGCAUAUAACAUAGAAAUCAUCUAAAAGAAGAGUCAUUGAUGUCAUCCACACUCUGCAAGUUAAGAAAAAUUCCUCUGGGUAAAUCUUACGUUAUUGAAAUAUGCCACUUGAAGUGUGUAUAGCAAAUGUAAAAUGAGAAGACAGGAAU